rnacentral:rRNA from 1 species
CUGGCAGUCAGAGGCGAUGAAGGACGUGCUAAUCUGCGAUAAGCGUCGGUGAGGUGAUAUGAACCGUUAUAACCGGCGAUUUCCGAAUGGGGAAACCCAGUGUGUUUCGACACACUAUCAUUAACUGAAUCCAUAGGUUAAUGAGGCGAACCGGGGGAACUGAAACAUCUAAGUACCCCGAGGAAAAGAAAUCAACCGAGAUUCCCCCAGUAGCGGCGAGCGAACGGGGAGGAGCCCAGAGCCUGAAUCAGUGUGUGUGUUAGUGGAAGCGUCUGGAAAGGCGUGCGAUACAGGGUGACAGCCCCGUACACAAAAAUGCACAUAUUGUGAGCUCGAUGAGUAGGGCGGGACACGUGGUAUCCUGUCUGAAUAUGGGGGGACCAUCCUCCAAGGCUAAAUACUCCUGACUGACCGAUAGUGAACCAGUACCGUGAGGGAAAGGCGAAAAGAACCCCGGCGAGGGGAGUGAAAAAGAACCUGAAACCGUGUACGUACAAGCAGUGGGAGCCUCUUAAUGGGGUGACUGCGUACCUUUUGUAUAAUGGGUCAGCGACUUAUAUUCUGUAGCAAGGUUAACCGAAUAGGGGAGCCGAAGGGAAACCGAGUCUUAACUGGGCGUUAAGUUGCAGGGUAUAGACCCGAAACCCGGUGAUCUAGCCAUGGGCAGGUUGAAGGUUGGGUAACACUAACUGGAGGACCGAACCGACUAAUGUUGAAAAAUUAGCGGAUGACUUGUGGCUGGGGGUGAAAGGCCAAUCAAACCGGGAGAUAGCUGGUUCUCCCCGAAAGCUAUUUAGGUAGCGCCUCGUGAAUUCAUCUCCGGGGGUAGAGCACUGUUUCGGCAAGGGGGUCAUCCCGACUUACCAACCCGAUGCAAACUGCGAAUACCGGAGAAUGUUAUCACGGGAGACACACGGCGGGUGCUAACGUCCGUCGUGAAGAGGGAAACAACCCAGACCGCCAGCUAAGGUCCCAAAGUCAUGGUUAAGUGGGAAACGAUGUGGGAAGGCCCAGACAGCCAGGAUGUUGGCUUAGAAGCAGCCAUCAUUUAAAGAAAGCGUAAUAGCUCACUGGUCGAGUCGGCCUGCGCGGAAGAUGUAACGGGGCUAAACCAUGCACCGAAGCUGCGGCAGCGACACUAUGUGUUGUUGGGUAGGGGAGCGUUCUGUAAGCCUGUGAAGGUGGCCUGUGAGGGUUGCUGGAGGUAUCAGAAGUGCGAAUGCUGACAUAAGUAACGAUAAAGCGGGUGAAAAGCCCGCUCGCCGGAAGACCAAGGGUUCCUGUCCAACGUUAAUCGGGGCAGGGUGAGUCGACCCCUAAGGCGAGGCCGAAAGGCGUAGUCGAUGGGAAACAGGUUAAUAUUCCUGUACUUGGUGUUACUGCGAAGGGGGGACGGAGAAGGCUAUGUUGGCCGGGCGACGGUUGUCCCGGUUUAAGCGUGUAGGCUGGUUUUCCAGGCAAAUCCGGAAAACCAAGGCUGAGGCGU